UCAGAACGAACGCUGGCGGCGUGGAUAAGACAUGCAAGUCGAACGAGAGAAUUGCUAGCUUGCUAAUAAUUCUCUAGUAGCGCACGGGUGAGUAACACGUGAGUAACCUGCCCCCGAGAGCGGGAUAGCCCUGGGAAACUGGGAUUAAUACCGCAUAGUAUCGAAAGAUUAAAGCAGCAAUGCGCUUGGGGAUGGGCUCGCGGCCUAUUAGUUAGUUGGUGAGGUAACGGCUCACCAAGGCGAUGACGGGUAGCCGGUCUGAGAGGAUGUCCGGCCACACUGGAACUGAGACACGGUCCAGACACCUACGGGUGGCAGCAGUCGAGAAUCAUUCACAAUGGGGGAAACCCUGAUGGUGCGACGCCGCGUGGGGGAAUGAAGGUCUUCGGAUUGUAAACCCCUGUCAUGUGGGAGCAAAUUAAAAAGAUAGUACCACAAGAGGAAGAGACGGCUAACUCUGUGCCAGCAGCCGCGGUAAUACAGAGGUCUCAAGCGUUGUUCGGAAUCACUGGGCGUAAAGCGUGCGUAGGCUGUUUCGUAAGU
rnacentral:rRNA from 1 species